rnacentral:rRNA from 1 species
UACGGAGGGUGCAAGCGUUAUCCGGAUUCACUGGGUUUAAAGGGUGUGUAGGCGGGCUUUUAAGUCUGGGGUGAAAUCUCCGAGCUCAACUCGGAAACUGCCUUGGAUACUAUUAGUCUUGAAUUAUGUUGAGGUUGGCGGAAUAUAACAUGUAGCGGUGAAAUGCAUAGAUAUGUUAUAGAACACCGAUUGCGAAGGCAGCUAACUAAGCAUAUAUUGACGCUGAGGCACGAAAGCGUGGGGAUCAAACAGG